AUUGAACGCAGGCGGCAUGCCUUACACAUGCAAGUCGAACGGUAGCACGGGAGCAAUCCUGGUGGCGAGUGGCGAACGGGUGAGUAAUAUAUCGGAACGUGCCCAGUAGUGGGGGAUAACUGCUCGAAAGAGCAGCUAAUACCGCAUACGACCUGAGGGUGAAAGGGGGGGAUCGCAAGACCUCUCGCUAUUGGAGCGGCCGAUAUCAGAUUAGCUAGGUGGUGGGGUAAAGGCCUACCAAGGCAACGAUCUGUAGUUGGUCUGAGAGGACGACCAGCCACACUGGGACUGAGACACGGCCCAGACUCCUACGGGAGGCAGCAGUGGGGAAUUUUGGACAAUGGGCGCAAGCCUGAUCCAGCAAUGCCGCGUGCAGGAAGAAGGCCUUCGGGUUGUAAACUGCUUUUGUCAGGGAAGAAAUCCUCUAGGUUAAUACCCUUGGGGGGAUGACGGUACCUGAAGAAUAAGCACCGGCUAACUACGUGCCAGCCGCCGCGUAAAAC
rnacentral:rRNA from 1 species